AACGAACGCUGGCGGCAUGCCUAACACAUGCAAGUCGAACGAGAUCUUCGGGUCUAGUGGCGCACGGGUGCGUAACGCGUGGGAAUCUGCCCUUUGGUUCGGAAUAACAGUUGGAAACGACUGCUAAUACCGGAUGAUGACGAAAGUCCAAAGAUUUAUCGCCAGAGGAUGAGCCCGCGUAGGAUUAGCUAGUUGGUGUGGUAAAGGCGCACAAAGGCGACGAUCCUUAGCUGGUCUGAGAGGAUGAUCAGCCACACUGGGACUGAGACACGGCCCAGACUCCUACGGGAGGCAGCAGUGGGGAAUAUUGGACAAUGGGCGAAAGCCUGAUCCAGCAAUGCCGCGUGAGUGAUGAAGGCCUUAGGGUUGUAAAGCUCUUUUACCCGGGAUGAUAAUGACAGUACCGGGAGGAUAAGCUCCGGCUAACUCCGUGCCAGCCGCCGCAGUAA
rnacentral:rRNA from 1 species